UUUCAUGCAGGAAGAAUUUCCAAGAGAGAAUAAGAAUGGCUCAAUAUUUGUGAAUUUAACCCAUUUUUAAUCAGGAAAACAAACCAAGGAGUAACCGGGAGACUAGUCUCAAGUCUUGAAUGCUUCUCCAUGGAGUAGAGGGACAGAAGGCAGAAACCUGUGCGGAUUAAUAGAAGAUUUCUGAGAAAACAAAACAAAGGGUCCCAUAGAACGAGUCUCUAACGAAACUUUCUUCUCAAAACAAAAUUGUGUCUCUCGCUUCUUGGACGGCCGUCCCCAUCUAUAAAACCUGCCAACUGUAAGUUCCUUUGCCUUGCAAAAAUAUAGGGGACUCUUCUUAAUGCUUGCACAGAAAUACUUUCUUGAAUUUUUAGCUUCUUGUAAAGUAUUUAACAUUUAACAUGUUUCUACAGGUUAUUAAUUCUGUGAAAUUGAGUAAAGCAGCAAGUUCAGGCAUGCAAGGAUCAAGAGAGAUUUUCUCAAAAUGCAUCUGACUGCUGCCAGCAGGGCUUAGCCUUAGUCAAAUCUAUCUCUGUCCUCACUUAAGUUAUUAAGUGACACACUUUGAAGUUUCAACAAUUUAGUUAAAGGGCCUAGCAGUCCAAUUAAAAACAAACAAACAAACAAACAAACCAACCAACCAAAAUUAUCCCAAAUAGUCCCACUUGGCCAAGAGUUGCUUUUUUAUAUUUAUUAGUCUUACUGUUGAGCUCACUAGUAUGGCAACUGGUGUUAACAGUGUGCUUAUUUUAAAAUCUAUAUAGUUUCAGAACUAGUAGUGGGUGCAACUGUGGCAAAAUGUCAUGCUCUUAUUUAUUAAUAACUUGCUUGUUUGGGGGGUUUGUUUUGCUGUACGACAGGUUUCCUUAAUGCAAAUUAUUCUUAUAGGAUUGGUGAAUAGCAAAAUGAUAUCAACAGAAACAGAUUUACCAUAAAGCUAAUGAAGCAUUACAUUCAUAUGAUGAUAAUGUGUUUCUGUAAAAUUUACUAAAGUGUGGUACAAAUAAAAGCACUUAAUUGGGAGCAAGAGAUACAUUCUUAAUAGAUUAAUCCUUAAAAAGAGAAACUGCAAAGGAAUUUUUUAAAAUAAAAAAUGCCUAGACUCUUGGGUUUCUUUUUAAUAACCCACUAAAUGAAAGGAUGGAACCAUAUGAUAUUGUAGAAAAACUUGAAUUUUCUGCUAGUCAUGAACACAGACGACAUAGCUCUUAAUAUUCCAGUAGAGUGAGGAUACUGACAACUAACUUUUUAAUGGAUGUUGAAAAUCCCAAAAUAUUUAAGACCAGUGACAACAUGCACAAACUUACAGAGCCCCAUGGUCUUUUCGUCUUACAGCUGAAAGAAACUUGAUAAAUAUUUCCCCCCAAUUGUUAAAAAUUCUAAACAUUACAGUAACAAAUAGUGGAAUUUCAAAAGAAACUUCUCUAAACUAUCAAUGACAAAAAAGAUUUUUGUCAAUUUUGUUUGAGGUGGGGUUGAAUUUUACUUUCUCCAUAGGAAAGAUUAUCAUUUAGCUGUUGUAAUAAGAGAUGAUCAAGGAGAGUAAAAGUGAAAAUGGAGUCAGCAAAGUCGGUCAGGUCAAUUAAUUAAUGAAAACAAAUAAUUGUCUGUAUCUCAUAAAGAUUUUGGCAAUUAUCAGCAUUUUAAAAUUGGUGAGUUGUGAUUUGGCUCUUAUUCUAAAUGAAUAGUUACUUCUCAACCUAGUAAUUUCACAUACUUUUUCUUAAAGAAAUACUUCAAAAGUAUAGAGGAUUGAAGACCAACACAAGCUGCAUCUAUCCCUGAUAUCAGAAUAAAAUUCUAGGUGGCUCCUAUGGGAAGUUCUCUGGCAUGCUAAUAUUUUGAGGUUAGCAGCAAGCUUUUCUCAAAGUAAAAGGGAAAGCCUUUGGAGUAUGUACAGAAAGUUUAAAAAGUCUCAAAAUAGAGAUACUUCUUCCUUUACUGCAGAUGUGACUCAUUCUGUGUCACUCAGAUCCUUAGAGGUUGCCUAGGUUGGGCUGAAGAGGCACCAAUUAAAUCCAUGAAAACAGUUCUGCUUGUGUAAUUAUUGUCCAUCCCCCACCCCAAGUGAUGAAGAUGAUUGCCCUUAAACUGCAUUUUGGAUUUGGAUGAAAUUGAUCUCUGUUACAGGAGAAUGGUACCAGCGGCUGGCAUCUUGAAAGGGGAAACAGAAGCCCAGAUUAUAAGUAUGCAUAGAAUAAGUGAGAUUUUUAAAUGUGUCUGAGGGGAGUUAAUUGAACUACAGUUCUAUUCAUAUCACUAUUAUUUGAGAUAGGGUACUUGCCACAAUGCUCCAUAGGUUUUGAAUUCAUCUGUCUCAUGUGUGUUUUCCCUAGAAACCCCAUUAUUUUUGUACAGUUUUUUGGUACAAUUACGUUGAAUGUGAGCCUUUUCCAGAACCUAAUUAUGACAGUAAGGCAGAUAUGCCUGCAUUUAUACCAUGGCUAUUUGUAAAAGAUUUUUGUACAACAUCUAAGACAAACAUGACAAGAAGAAAAAGUAUGAGCUGUACAAAAUGAGAAUGAUCUGAGACAGGCAGAGUAUAGACAUGUUAGGAAUAAAAUCUACAAAAUAACAAAAAUUUGUCCCCAAAAGAAAGAAGUUCUGAUAAAUAAAAUAGCACUUUUCAUCUCUUCUUCCUGGCAUCUAGGAUAGGAAAAUCUAGUCCUAAUAGAGUUUUCAUGUGGGGAUGAAAUGAAUCACACAAAUGUAAAAGUUGAGACCACAUGGAUAAAACAUCCCAAUAUUGUGCGGAGCUCAUAGUAGGUGCUUAGAAAAUGUGGGAGAAAUCUGAGUCUUUCAGUCAGAAGAGCUUGUUUUCAUCCUAGCUCAGCCUCUUACUGGUUUUCUGACCUUGGUCAUGUUAUUUACCUCUUGGAACUUUGCUUCAUCUGUGACAAGGGAAUAAUAAUACUUCAGAAGCACA